AGAAAGGAGUUAAUAAACUCCAUUUACAAAAUCUAGAAGUUUACUU
rfam:Equus caballus chromosome 24, whole genome shotgun sequence.